AAAAAAAAGAAAAAAAGAAGAAAAGAAAGCAUUGAAUAUAAAAUGUGCAGUUACAACUCAUCCUUGUACAUAAUAGACAUAAAACAACCUACUCAGAAUUUAGGCAGCACAGUUGAUCAUCAAAAUGCACGACUAUACACCCUUGAGACAGCAAAUAUGCUAUUCCCAAGCUGGACCAGCUGCAAAAAAAAUGUGCCUCACUUGUGAAAGAACAGACUCUUUUUCUUCCCUUUUCUUCUUUCACCAGCCUGCAAUGGCCAACAAAAUUGAAACUUCGGUAUACAUGCUUUUAAAUGGGAAUGCACAUGAGUUCAAUUUGUUAAUGAUAAUCACCACAAACUUUAGGGUAAAUUUCAUCAAUCAUCACUCAAUUUAACUCUUAGUUUCAAUUUCACGCCAAUAAGAUCACUGGAGCCACAAUCCUGUUGGAAACCAGCUGAAAGUUUGAUGUAGCAACCUUUAAAAGCUAGUUUACUUUAACUAAGAUAAGGAGCAGAUAAAAUCUAUACAACUUGAAACAUGAUAUUCCCGCACUAGAACUACUAAUUCCCAUUCAAAUUUCAAUACGAAUUAAGGAGCUUAAAAUGCUAUCUAGCAAUCAUAUUAUCACGGAGAAAGUAAUAUUUUGGUUAUUAGAAAGUGGACCAUUUAAAGCUAAAACUGUGUUCUCCUUCGUCUCUCUCAAUUUGCAAUAUGAAGUCGAAUUCCAACAAGUUGUCAUGCUAGAUUACUGUUUUUCCUUUUCAAGAAGAUUCUUCAUAGGGCCAUGGAGCUUAACAGAAAGUCAUGGAGAUGUUAAACAAAAAUAACUUCAAUCUAGAACGUCUGAACUUGUAGACAUAGAAAACAGUAGUUUGCAGCUAGAUGACUUUCCAAACUAACAAAAAGAAGACUGAAUAUUAUAUUAUGUGAGCCUGAUCCUUGUGUUAACCCUUCAAUACAAGCUGGUCUAACCCAAAGGUUUAAAGCCACAUCCAUGAAAAACCGUAUCAUCUGCAAUGCUUGCCACCAACAAAGAGGGGGGAAAAAAACCAAUUUAUGAUUGUGGUCCCGUAUGAUAAAUAAUCUCAAGAUGAUCACAAUUGUAUCUCUUGAACUGCUAAAAUCCAUUGAGUUGCUAUCCACUCGUAAGAGAUGCUGAAUGCCACUAGAACUGGUGAUUAUAAAUUCUGUAGGCUGUCCAUAUGGGAUUGCAACACUUGUGUUUGGGGAAAACUUCUCAGUGACUAUAGCGCCACUGGAUCCACUACCCUUAAUGUUGUAACCGUCUCUCUUAAUGGCCAAAGUGACCGGUUCCCAUAUAUCAAGAUAUCCAGUCGACAAGGAUACUUUAUAUGAAGCAUGACCACUAUAAAGAGUUUUCUCAAUAUGUCGUUGCAUUUCAAGAUCACAAAUAAUUUUUCUGUGCUCAUUUGCAAACACCUUUACAAGCUCUCCCUUACGCUUUCUGUCAUCCAGAGGCUGGACUUCUAUAGCAAGGUAGGUAUCAACAUCAUCGGCAGUAACAAGAUAGUUUGGUUGUUUUGCUCCAUCAAUAUAAUCAACAGAUCCAUCUUCCAAAUGGCGUACCCACUCAAAAUUACAACUAGUUGUUCCAUUGAUAGAAUAUCCACAUGCCUGCAGUUCUUGUCCAGGAAAUGCUUCACCUGAAAUUUGGAGACCCUCAAUAGCUGGCAAUGGAUCAUCUUCUGCAGCCUCAGAAAAGGAAGAAGAAGGUUCCUCAAGAACAGGAGGUAGGUAAGGCGAAUAUGAGGAGCCAGGAUCAUCAAGGGCAGUAGUCCCCCAGCUGGCCGAAGGUUCUCUCUCAUUCUGUUGUCCCUCUGCAUCUGGAUUAUCCAUCUCAUUGUUGCUAACAGGAUCAGAGAAUGUAACUUGUUUAUUAGUGAUUUCUUCACCAUAAUGUACAGCACGACUAUCACCCCUAGUAGCUGCAAACUGUGCUGGUAUAUCAUGGGUCGUAGAGUUCCAACAAAUGGAGAUGAUUGUUAUUUGUACAUUCAGUUCACGGUAGCAGUCUCCAUUUGACCAGGCUCACCUGCUUGCAAGAGGUGAAUAUCUCCCCAAAUCAUCCGAUUCUAGAUUUUUUGCAACUGCACCUCCUAAACCUCUCUGUUGGUGACUCAAUAAAUCCCGAUCCCAAUCUGAUGUCUGCGCAUCAGGAGAAGUCAUUGGUAUCUUUCCAAGGGAAUAUGCAGGCUGUGACACCAAUUCAAGCCCAUUUUUGUGAUUUGAGUGGUUCACAUCAGAUCGCCAAGGUGCCAUUUGAUACUGGGAUUCCUUGAGCUUAGACUCAGUUUGAAUGAGCUUCUCCUGAAGAUGUCUGAACAGAACCCUGACAUCGCUAACGAUAGACUGGGCAUCUGGAACUGGUGGCUGCAAAGAAUACUCUGCGAGAAGGGGCAGCAAAGAUGAAACAAACGUUGACCUUUCUUGCUGUGCAGCCUGCAAUUCAUAUGUCAGACGUAUAUUCUCUUCAAUUAUGUCUUGUCUAUAUGAGAGAGCCUUUGAUUGAGUAUCAACAAGGUCCUGUUGUUGUUGAUCGAAGGCCAGACGCAUAUAAGCAAUACGCUUUUCCAGAACAUAUUUUUCAUUGCGUAUUUGUGCUUCCUUCAUAGAAUAGUCGGAAAGAUGUUUCCUUAACUGCAAAAUCUCUUCUUCAUGCUCCCAAACCUCUUUCCAGAGACCACUAGGGUUAUUUACUUUAGCCAUUUGCAUUUGCCCAUGUCCAGACAAAUUGAACUGUUGAUCAUAUUCUCCUUCCAUUUGAUACCUGCUUGGCGAAACUGAUGUUGUGGAUGGUGAAGAUAACUGGGAGAGACCAGCAUUAUCAACAGGUGCCUGCCCUCCCAGAAGUACCUUCAAUGUCCCAUUGAUCUUGCUGCUGUCAGAGUGGCUUUCCACUUGACUCUUCAUGGCAGGAUCCUCUCUAUUAAGUGUACCUGAUUGAUGAACUGCAGAAGUGCUGCCCAUGCUCUUAACUUUGUCUUCUAGAUCACCUACAGAAGGAACUGAUUGAUGAACUUCAUAAGGGCCAUUAACCCGCUCAUUCCAUUGAUCAAUAGAAUGAGAUCUUUGUGCUAUUGAUUCAUCUAUUUUAUAUUUUUCAAGUUGCUGAAUUUUUUUCUGAAGUUCAGUCCUUAAUCGCAUAUUCUCAUCUACCUGUUGUCUGAUGGUAGCCUCAGCAGCUUCUACAGCUUUCAUAACCUGAAACAAACUAUCGUUAUUAUUGCUGUUGUUGAUGGUAGUACUUGCAGUAGUAGUGGCGGUACUACUGUUAUUGAAAUUAAGAUUGGAAGAUGAAGUCGCCGAAUCAUUGAGCGCUAAUCCCGACAUCUUAUUUCCUAAUUUCCCAUCGUGACCGUUCUCCAUAAUCCAAAUCCAGCCAAAAAAUAGAAAUAAAACCCAAUUACAACACCUCUUGCAUCAAUUUCAUCCUACCACCUUCAACAAACAAUACUAGUUAAUCCAAUAGGGAAUGAAAUGCUGAGAGAAGCAAAUAUUUUGAAACCCUAAACCUAAUCAGACGGAGAGAAGACAGAGAGCGAGAGAGAUAUUAAUGACUUAGUUGUGCGUGUUUUCUCUCUUUGUCCCUCUCCAUGUGUGCGUGUAGACAGGGAAAGAAGAGCGUGUUGAGGAGGAAGACAUAAGCAUUUUAAGAAGACGAUGAUGAUUUUAAUUUUUC
rnacentral:misc_RNA from 1 species